rnacentral:rRNA from 1 species
GGACCCGCACAAGCGGUGGAGCAUGUGGUUUAAUUCGAAGCAACGCGAAGAACCUUACCAAGUCUUGACAUCCCUUUGACCGGUCGGUAAAGCGACCUUCCCUUCGGGGCAAAGGUGACAGGUGGUGCAUGGUUGUCGUCAGCUCGUGUCGUGAGAUGUUGGGUUAAGUCCCGCAACGAGCGCAACCCUUAUCUUUAGUAGCCAGCAGUUCGGCUGGGCACUCUAGAGAGACUGCCAGGGUUAACCUGGAGGAAGGUGGGGAUGACGUCAAAUCAUCAUGCCCCUUAUGACUUGGGCUACACACGUGCUACAAUGGUAACAACAAAGAGAAGCGAGACUGUGAAGUGGAGCAAAUCUACAAAAAGUUAUCUCAGUUCGGAUUGUAGUCUGCAACUCGACUACAUGAAGCUGGAAUCGCUAGUAAUCGCGAAUCAGAAUGUCG